rnacentral:rRNA from 1 species
GACGAACGCUGGCGGCGUGCCUAAUACAUGCAAGUAGGACGCAGUUGCGAACGGGUGCGUAACGCGUAGGUAAGUGGCGGGUAGAGGGGGGUAACUAGUGGCAACGAUAGCUAAUACCGCAUACUAGUAGAUGGAUCUUAGUUGUAUUAGCUAGUAGGUUGGGUAAUGGCCUACCUAGGGAACGAUACAUAGCCGAGUUGGAGAGGUGAACGGGCACACCGGGACUUGGGCAAGGGCCAAGCUCCCUCGGGGGGCCACAGUAGGGAAUCUUCGGCAAUGGGGCGAACCCUGAACGAGCACAGGCGGGGGAGUGAAGGAGGUUUUCGGAUCGUAAAGCUCUGUUCAUAAGGAAGCGGUACCUACACAGAAAGGGACGGCUAACUACGUGCCAGCAGCCGCGGUAAUUC